AUAAUCAAUUCAUCUUUAAUUAGCUUACCACAAAAAUUCCAUUAAAUUUAAAUAAAUAGACAUGGCAGGAGUUCUCCGAGGCACAGCAGGCUCCGUUUAAAGAAUUCUCUUUGAGUUCGUUAGGUUGGUCUUUAAUCAGUUUGUCGUCAAAGUCCUUGUGUGGCCCAAGCAGGAUCCUGGGCUGCUAAUAACGAGCAAUUGAAGCUGCAAGAGUUUCCCGGAUGGAUCCAGCCCGUGCCUGGCCAUGUGGCUGCAGUGUGUGCAUCGGUGCCAGCACUGAUGUCCUCUGGCAGGCAGUGGAGAGCAGGUCGGGUUUGGAAGUCCUGCCCUUGCCAGGAGAUCCUUUUUUCACUCAUUUCUCUUGAGUUUUCCAUCUGGGAGAAGAGAGGGAAGUGAGCAGGGCAAGGGCUUGUUUCCUGCCGGUUCAGUGAGCUCAAGUGGCCCCCAGGAGAUGGGAGCAGCCCUCUGAGAGGCAGAGGCUGCUCUGCCCCCAGCUCUCAAGUUCUCAUUUUUGGGGUCAUCUCUGCCUGCUCACCCCGUGCACGCUCUCAGCUCAGCACUGGGUGCUCCUGGGCUAGAGAUUUUCCAGGGCAGCAGUGACCUGCAGCAUCACCUGCUCCAGAGUCACGACACCAGCUUUGGAAUCAGCAGCUCUUGGGUUUUGCUGGUGUGGAGGAUGGUGGGGGAGAGGUGUCUGUUUCCUCCCAGAAUUGCUGGUCCUGCUGCAUCCCCGCUGCCUGCAGCUUCCUGCUCCAUGUCGGAGCAAUUCAGAGCUGAAUUCAGAGCCCCUCCUGCAUCCCACCACUGCUCCCACAGAGCCUGGGGACCCCGGGGCAGGCAGCAAGUGGAACGGGGAUCCUGGCUCCUGUGGGUAUGGGGGACACAGGGAAGGCAAUGAUGCACCAAGGGCAUCUUACACAAGCAAUGCUCCGAGCUCGCCCUGCACAAGUCACAUGCAAAGGCACCUCCUGAGCUCAUUCCCAUGUUGUUGUUAUUCCAUUUGGAGCUGUAGGAUUGGAUCCCUGCAGUGGUACAUUGACAAGCUUG
rnacentral:lncRNA from 1 species